CAUCCGGAUUCCCUAGUAGCGGCGAGCGAGCGGGAAGAGCUCAAAUUUAUAAUCUGGCACUUUCAGUGUCCGAGUUGUAAUCUCUAGAAGUGUUUUCCGCGUUGGACCGCACACAAGUCUGUUGGAAUACAGCGGCACAGUGGUGACACCCCCGUACACGGUGCGGACGCCCAGCGCUUUGUGAUACACUUUCGAAGAGUCGAGUUGUUUGGGAAUGCAGCUCAAAUUGGGUGGUAAAUUCCAUCUAAAGCUAAAUAUUGGCGAGAGACCGAUAGCGAACAAGUACCGUGAGGGAAAGAUGAAAAGCACUUUGGAAAGAGAGUUAACAGUACGUGAAAUUGUUGGAAGGGAAACGCUUGAAGUCAGACUUGCUUGCCGGAGCUUGCUUCGGUUUGCAGGCCAGCAUCAGUUUUCCGGGGUGGAUAAUGGCGGUUAGAAGGUAGCAGCUUCAGCUGUGUUAUAGCUUUCCGCUGGAUACAUCCUGGGGGACUGAGGAACGCAGCGUGCUUUUAGCGGGGGUUUCGACCUCUUCACGCUUAGGAUGCUGGUGUAAUGGCUUUAAACGACCCGUCUUGAACCACGGACCAAAACCAAAGAC
rnacentral:rRNA from 1 species